rnacentral:lncRNA from 1 species
CAUAUACCCCAAAAACCUAAUUCAUUUUCCACCUUAUACCGCCGCCCUAAAAUCCUCUCUUCUCUAAAAUACUCUCAACCAAAACCCUAAUCUCCAAAUGCCGACACCCAUCUAUGGACAUCUUCGGCGACCUCUCAUCAUCUCUCAGGCCUCCAAUGACUUUUCUCAUGUCAUUCUUACCAUCCCUAAGGCCCUCAAGGGACCAGGGCCAUGCUGACUUGCAUCUAGGAUUCAUCUCCUGCUUGUUCCUAGCCAUUCCAAUGUGAUUUCGAGUGAAAUUGUUCUAUAUGAUCUAUGAGUUUCUAGAUAGGUUUCUUCAUCUCUGUAUGGAUCUCUUCGAAACCCUAAUUUCUUUUCUAUACCUCAUACAUCUUACAGAUCAAGGACAAUUUGAGUUUAUUUCUUGUGUGUUUUACAAUAGCCUUGAGAUUUUUUACAAGAAUCAUAUGAUUUCAAGUGUUUUUCAUCUUUUUCUAAAAUUAAGGUUUUCAGAAUUUCUUUAUAAACUUUGUUGGAUGAUUUUUUGUGUUUAAACUUCUGUUUCUCACAUAUUUUGACUGAUUCUAUCAGUCUACUACAACUUUAACUCGCCUGUGCUGAAAGUCUAACUUUUCAGGGGUUCUUCAUUUGGUUUCUGAGUAUAAGCAUAUCUGACUGGUUAUCGCUUUGAGUUCUUGUGAUUUCUCGUAAUUGUCUUGCCUUAAUAUGCAUCUAUUGAGUUUUUUAGUCUAAACUUUAUUGAUUCUACAUGCAUGUGUUCAUCUUGACUAUUCACAUAAAGACCUGUAUCUUUCUCACUGAACAUGUAUUGUUGUUUAGCUUUUGUUUUGUUAAAGUUAUAUGUCAAUUCCUGACUAUCCAUGUUUUAUCUUAUUUAUAUGUUAAACAUACUAACUCUUUUCAUGACUUUCUCUUUGAUUGAGCCAUUGAAUAUUAUGAAUUUCUUAUUUCUUGGGCUGAUUUGAACACUUUUCCUUAAACUUCCGAUUCUUACCUUUCUACUCGAGUUGAUUGAUUUGCUUGACUUAAUUAAUUUUCCCUUAACUUGUCUGCAUUAUUACUUGAUUCUUACUUAUUAUUUCCCUAAUUUGAACUUUAUGUACCUAGCCAAGUUGCAUUUUCUGUACUUGCAUUGUUUGAAGUCUUUCCUUAUUUGUUAUACUCCAGCUAUGUAUGAUUUCUUUCCUUACUUGUCACCUACUCUUUACCGUUUGAGCUAAUUCCCUUAAUUAAGGGAAGACUUGGACUGAUUUUACUUUAAUUGAUUCUGAGAUUCUCCAAUCACCAAACAAUUUGAUUCUUACCUUAUUUACCUAGCUUCAAACUACUAUUUAUAUGAUUUCUUCUACUCUCAUUAGACAGAACAUUGAGUUCACAAAAAAAAAACACUUACAUGUUAAAAGUUCUCUUUCUCUUCCACUAUUUGUGAUACUUGCCGAUCUAGUUGGAUGAAAGCCAAAGCUAUAUAUUGGAACUUUAUUUUCUUCAUAUUCUGCACCUUUCUUCAACUGGUAUGUCUCUAAUUAAAAUUUGAGAUUCAAACCCUAUGUGUUUUCAUUAUUGCACUAGUUCAUCAGUUAUGAGUUCAAUUUCCUGCCUACUUCUUUAUGCAGUAUGUCUAAAAUCUGCUUGUUUAAUGUAUUCUUUACAUUCUGUUCUUUUUCUUGCUUACUUCUUACCUAGCAUGUCUAAAUUUCUGUCCUGUUCAAUGUAUGCACUCUGCCCUGUCUAUUUCUUUGCCUAGCAUGACUAAUCUGUUAAAGUCCUCAAGGUCCUAAGUGUUGUAUGCAAUUUGUGACUAUAUGUUUCCUUUAUCCCUAUCCAUGAUACCUAAUGUGAUUCUUAUGUCCCACCAUUCUCAUAUGAGAUCUAUUUGUCAAAUGUUUCUUUCCUGAGUCUGAAUGUCUCUUAUGACCAACCAAUUGUCUGUUGUUUUGAUACUCUUCUCAAACUGUCUUUUCCCACUAAGUUGUUCCUGUUUUUGAAACAAACCUUUCUACUUCUGAAGCCAUCCUUGUACUAUUUACAAAACAAAACUAUGUCAAGCAUUAUCCACUACUCCUAAAAUAUUUAGGUCAUGCCCCUCUAGUAUGUGUACUGCCUUGAGAUCCAUGAGAUUCUCUAAACGCUAGCAUGUCAGAGCUGUCCUUUCCACACUGCACUAGAAUCAGUUCUUGUUUGAGAAAGUCUAGGUGUGAAUACUGCUCGAGAUCUUUGAGAUCCUUAGGGAACUCUGACGCACCUAGACAAUGAUACUGUCCAUGAAACUUUGGCAUUUGAGGUUAUUGGAGGCUUAGGGAAGUCAUUUGGUCCUGCUUCAGGCUCCAUAUAGUUAAAUUCUUCUUUUCUUUAUUGUUUAUGUAAUUUAUUCAUCUAGUCUGUAAUAAUUAUUUGUAAACAACUUUGGGGUGAUUACUGAAAAAGGGUGAAUAGCUAUAUCUA